AUGGCAACUUUGUUGUUUCACGGUCUCGUUUGGUUUCUCUGCCUUCUCCUGGGGUUCUCUUGCAGCCUACCAUUAUUAGGCAUCUGCGAUGAAACGCCGAGUGAUAGAGAAGCCCUCCUGUGCUUCAAAUCACGGCUCUCGGCACCCGCCGGAGUUCUACCUUCAUGGAGCAACACAUCCAUGGAGUUCUGCGACUGGCACAGGAUCACGUGCAGCGCGACUUCCCCCCGGCAUGUCGUUGCGCUGGACCUUGAAUCCCAAGGCAUCUCAGGCACCAUAGCACCUUGCAUCGCCAACCUCACUUGGCUGGCAAUGCUCCAGCUGUCCAACAAUAGCUUUGGUGGCGGUGUACCGUCCGAGCUUGGCCUCCUGGGCCGACUCACCAACCUCAACCUCAGCAUGAACAGUUUGGAAGGUAACAUCCCACCUGAACUCUCUGCAUGUUCCCAGCUCCAAAUUCUGGGCUUGUGGAACAAUUCCCUCCAUGGAGAGAUCCCACAUAGCCUUAGCCAAUGCAAGCGCCUUCAAGAGAUUAACCUUGCAAACAACAAGCUCCAAGGGAGCAUUCCUCCUGCUUUUGGAGACCUUCCUGACCUGCGCAUACUAGUUCUCGCCAAAAAUACACUUACUGGCACCAUACCGUUGUCUUUGGGAAGCAGUCGUCAUCUUAUGUAUGUCGAUCUCGGGAUCAAUGCUCUUGGAGGGGUCAUCCCGGAGUCCUUGGCAAAUAGUUCAUCUCUUCAAGUACUUAGGCUCAUGAGCAAUAGUCUUACUGGAGAACUCCCAAAGGCUCUCCUCAACACUUUGUCACUAGGUGCCAUUUGCCUCACAAGAAACAAUUUUGUUGGUUCCAUACCUUCUGUUACUGUCACCUCUUCCCCUCUUAAGCAUCUCUAUUUAGGGGAAAACAAUCUUUCA
rnacentral:rRNA from 1 species